rfam:Gossypium hirsutum cultivar TM-1 chromosome 19, whole genome shotgun sequence
AAUCCAUGCAUCGAACAUUUUCGAAUUAAAUCUUUGAACCAUUCCUAAGCUUAAUAUAGUGUUUCAUCCUCCAAUUUUCGAAAAGAUGUGAUGUCAUUUCUAAGCUU